UGGGGAAUCUUCCGCAAUGGACGAAAGUCUGACGGAGCAACGCCGCGUGAGUGAUGACGGCCUUCGGGUUGUAAAGCUCUGUUAAUCGGGACGAAUGGUUCUUGUGCAAAUAGUGCGAGGAUUUGACGGUACCGGAAUAGAAAGCCACGGCUAACUACGUGCCAGCAGCCGCGGUAAUACGUAGGUGGCAAGCGUUGUCCGGAAUUAUUGGGCGUAAAGCGCGCGCAGGCGGAUUGGUAAGUCUGUCUUAAAAGUUCGGGGCUUAACCCCGUGAUGGGAUGGAAACUGCCAAUCUAGAGUAUCGGAGAGGAAAGUGGAAUUCCUAGUGUAGCGGUGAAAUGCGUAGAUAUUAGGAAGAACACCAGUGGCGAAGGCGACUUUCUGGACGAAAACUGACGCUGAGGCGCGAAAGCCAGGGGAGCGAACGGG
rnacentral:rRNA from 1 species